CCUCUUUUAAACAACCAGCCUCCUUUUCUUUCCUUAGACCAGAUUGAAGACGUCGGAGACAACCAGAUAGAAGACGACAGAGACUAGUCCCAGAUUGCUUUCAAUCCCUCACAAGAUGCACCUCCGCGUGGGAAAGUACUGAUUCGUCCAGCUUGGGUGCAGGAAGACAAGGACACCAGGUCACUGCCCGGAUCAAAUCUUACUUAGAUACUAUUUCUCUCAUCCUUGUUGUGGACUGACUGCUUGGGCACGUCCACCUUGAUGGAGCCGGAUGAAGUGCAUAGGAUGUCUCUAUUGCAGCUAGCUAAGAGGCAACUUUUUGAACCAGAUACUAAUCUGCUGUACAAUCCUGUGAUAAGGGAACAACAGACACCCCAAGGAAAUCCUGAAUAUUCUAGGCGAGGGUGGACAUCGGGCCGCUCUUUCAUAGCUCAGUGCUAUUAUCCUGUCGCUCCUCAUCCUAGAGUCGAUACAGCUGUCACCCUGGGGACUCACAUGAUAUCCAAAGGAUUAGGUUGGGAAUUCCAUGAGGUUGAAUAUUCAGUAGCUCCCCCUGGGUACGUUGA